GUCUGUAACACCCAACAUACCAAGUUUCACACCCGCUUUGACAAGGAGGACUGUUGGAGACGGAGGAGAGAGUUGGCAGAUACAGAGGUAACAGCCUUUAUUUGUGUAUUCACCUUUUUCGAAAUUGGUUGAUGCCUGUCUGCAGGCUGCUUCAAACACUCUGAAGUAGUAUUGGUGGUGGGUAGGGUGUGCUCAGCUAGGGGGAGCAUGAGGGUGUCUGCUGGCAGUGGUGGUGGUGGUGGUGUUGCAGUGCUGCUGGGGUUGAGAGCCGGGUGGAGGGAAGUAGCAUGCAGUAGAGGUUGCUCUGCAUACAACAUUCAAGCGGACAUCUGACGUCAGCACAUCAAUAAUUAAAGCAUUUUAUUCAUAGCCUGGGAGAAAAGGAAUCAAUUGACAAAUCACAUAUUCACUUUGAGUUACUUCAAACGGAGGAACAAUUAAAACGCACAUGUCUGUGUUGUGUGUGUGUGUGUGCGUGUGUGUGUGUGUGUGUGUUUGUGAUAGCUUGGGAUGCAAUUUACACAUUUUCCUAUUUAUAGCCUCUAUGUUAUUAAGACUACACUUCUUAAUAUAUAGCAAAGGCAUGCAUAGAAAGUGUGACUGAUUUUUUUUACCCCCCUACCAGUCUGCCCUUGCUCUCUGAUUAGUUUUAAGGUGCAUCCAGCUUUUGAAUUCAAACUAUUCAUUAUGGUUUGACAUGGCAUCUCAUUUCAAUUUUAUGUAUAGACGGACUUGCUAUUCCAGAGUUAUAAUACACAGUUCUAUUUUAACAUCUCAGCAUAUGUGAUUUACUUACAUGGACUAAUGUUGACUGCAGGUAUGUAAAGUUGAUUGUUCGGUAAAUUAAGACUAUAAACAACUUUUAAAACGACUUAUCUACAGAUCUUUUUAGCCUCUUUCAGUUCUUUGUUUUGGUUUGACAGCCUAACUGUUCUACUUCACGCUAAUAAUAUAAUACAAUACAAUAUGAUAUGAUAUAAAACGAUGCAAUAUAAUACAAAACAUUUGUGUAAAAUGUCAUAAAAAUGUUAUUUUUUCAGUUAUUUAAUCAGAUUGACCCUACUAAGAUUAAUCUAAUCUUGUUUUCAAGCGAGAACCAGCAAAGGCAACAGCAAAACAAAAACACAAAGCUGCAUGCACAAGCCCGUGGAUGACAACAGUACAUUUUGCAGGCAUGAAAAUUUGUAAUAAAAACAAAAACUAACUAAGAGUGAUUUUUGCUACCAUUCAUUCAUUCAUUUUUUGCCGCCUACCACGAACAACUACGAACUACGAACAACCAUCCACACUCGCAUUCACACCUAUGAACAAUUUGAAAGUGUCCAAUUAACCUAACUCCACUUCUCCAUGUUUUUGGGGUGAGGGAGGAAACCGGAGUACCUGGAGUAAACCCACGCAGACACAGGGAGAACAUGCGAACUCCACACAGAAACAUCCUGAGCCGGAUUCGAACCCAGGACCUUCUUGCUGUGCGGCGACAGUGCUAACCACUACACCGCUGUGCCGCCCCGAGAUUUGCUACCAG